rnacentral:rRNA from 1 species
UCCAAGGCUAAGUACUCCUCGACGACCGAUAGUGAACCAGUAAGGUGACUGAACGAUGAAAAGCACCCCGACAAGGGGAGUGAAAAGUACCUGAAACCGUGUGCCUACAAGCUGUGGGAGCCCUCCUUGCGGGGGUGACCGCGUGCCUUUUGCAUAAUGAUCCUACGAGUUACUCUCAGCGGCAAGGUUAAGCCGAAUCACGGCGGAGCCGAAGGGAAACCGAGCCUUAAAAGGGCGUCGAGUCGCUGGGGGUAGACGCGAAACCGGGUGAUCUACCCAUGGGCAGGUUGAAGGACGGGUAACACCGUCUGGAGGACCG